rnacentral:misc_RNA from 1 species
GAUGAAGAACGUAGCGAAAUGCGAUACUUGGUGUGAAUUGCAGAAUCCCGUGAACCAUCGAGUCUUUGAACGCAAGUUGCGCCCGAAGCCAUUAGGCCGAGGGCACGCCUGCCUGGGCGUCACACGUCGUUGCCCCCCCAUCUACUCCUUCGGGAUUGCGGGGGGCGGAUGAUGGCCUCCCGUGCGCCUCGUCGCGCGGUUGGCAUAAAUGCCAAGUCCUCGGCGACGCACGCCACGACAAUCGGUGGUUGCGAAACCUCGGUUGUCCGUCGUGUGCGGUCGUCGCGCAUCGAGGGCUCGAAAAAAUUGCCGGGCUCCGGCUCGGCUUUCAACGCGACCCCAGGUCAGGCGGGGUUACCCGCUGAAUUUAAGCAUAUCAAUAAGCGGAGGA